AAUGUACCCUUCUCUAAGGAAUAGCCUCUGGAAACGGAGAGUAAUACCUUAUACGCCCUUCGGGGGAAAGAUUUAUCGGAGAGGGAUCAGCCCGCGUUAGAUUAGAUAGUUGGUGGGGUAACGGCCUACCAAGUCUACGAUCUAUAGCUGGUUUUAGAGGAUGAUCAGCAACACUGGGACUGAGACACGGCCCAGACUCCUGCGGGAGGCAGCAGUGGGGAAUCUUGGACAAUGGGCGCAAGCCUGAUCCAGCCAUGCCGCGUGAGUGAUGAAGGCCUUAGGGUCGUAAAGCUCUUUCGCCAGGGAUGAUAAUGACAGUACCUGGUAAAGAAACCCCGGCUAACUCCGUGCCAGCAGCCGCGGUAAUACGGAGGGGGUUAGCGUUGUUCGGAAUUACUGGGCGUAAAGCGCGCGUAGGCGGGUUGUUAAGUUAGAGGUGAAAUCCCGGGGCUCAACCCCGGAACUGCCUUUAAUACUGGCAACCUAGAGUUCGAGAGAGGUGAGUGGAAUUCCGAGUGUAGAGGUGAAAUUCGUAGAUAUUCGGAGGAAC
rnacentral:rRNA from 1 species